UCUCCGUGGCUCACAUGAGGCACCAAAAAGCCACAAAGCAGUGCCAAGAACCACCCUGGCAACGGCGUGUGCGUGUCCAUGGGAGCUGUGUUUCCUGAGGGUUACCAUGGCAGGAGCUCUGCAGAAGUCCCGGUCUCCCAGUGGAACGGUUUGGCAAGGGUGCGGAGUCCAUUACUCUACGGCGUGCUUCCAAGCAGUAUGAAGGAGAUGUUCGACUUUAAAGCACUUUGAUUAGUAUUAGGUCUGCUGUAGCUGAGCUGAAGCAAUUCUUUUUGAUCUAGAUUUCCUUUUGGUCAAUUUAAAGAAGACAUAGAAAUGCUAAUCCAGUGAAUGAGCACAGGCAGUUAGCGCCUGCUUCUAGAUUAGAACUGCUAGAUUAAAUGCAACCCCCUUGUCCUCUUCUCCAUGUCUCUUCCUUACCUAUGUCCGUGAUGUACCUCUACUACUGCCAGGACCAAGAGAGUAAUGUAAGAAACAACACUUCUGCCAGUGCAGGACUGCAUUUGUUGGUAAGAAACUGUUUUGG
rnacentral:lncRNA from 7 species